rnacentral:rRNA from 1 species
GUGGGGAAUAUUGCACAAUGGGCGCAAGCUUGAUGCAGCGACGCCGCGUGGAGGAUGACGGUCUUCGGAUUGUAAACUCCUGUUAAGUGGGAAGAAAGACUGGUAUCUAAUACAUGCCGGGGAUGACGGUACCACUAGAGAAAGCACCGGCAAACUUCGUGCCAGCAGCCGCGGUAAUACGAAGGGUGCAAGCGUUGUUCGGAAUGACUGGGCGUAAAGAGCGUGGAGGCGGUUUCCUAAGUUAUCUGUUAAAUCACUCGGCUUAACUGAGUACUUGCGGGUGAUACUGGGAGGCUAGAGUACAGGAGAGAAAGGUAGAAUUCUCGGAGUAGCGGUAAAAUGCGUAGAUCUCGAGAGGAAUACCGGUUGCGAAGGCGGCCUUUUGGCCUGUUACUGACGCUUGAGCGCGAAAGCGUGGGGAGCAAACAGGAUUAGAUACCCCAGUAGUCC